GUAAAGGCCAGCAUCCAUUUAACAAAAUUCUGCAGUGCUUGAUGGAUGCUAUGUUAACCAAUGAAGGUAUCUGUUCUCUCACAGCUGGAAUGCUUCACUUUCAAAGCACUUGAAAAAUGGCCCUCAAAGCAGGAAUAGGUAAACCAAGGAAAAACAAGCAAGAGAGUGGACAUGGAACCAACUUAUCAACUAGUUUGAACUGGACCCAACAGCUGACCAGGGACCUACUUGGAGACUGGGGAAGCCACAGAGCAUCUGGAGGACUCACUGUGAUGUCAACAAUUUAACAUUUCUCUGACACCGGAUAUCUUAGUUCAUUCUGUUGUGCAAGACAAAGAGUCCAGGAAAUUCAAUGGUUGCACACUGAAAUAAACAAUAUUUUUGGGGAAAACUUAAGAAGCUG
rnacentral:lncRNA from 1 species